rnacentral:rRNA from 1 species
CCUACGGGAGGCAGCAGUGGGGAAUAUUGCACAAUGGGGGAAACCCUGAUGCAGCGACGCUGCGUGAGUGAAGAAGUAUUUCGGUAUGUAAAGCUCUAUCAGCAGGGAAGAAAAAAGACGGUACCUGACUAAGAAGCCCCGGCUAACUACGUGCCAGCAGCCGCGGUAAUACGUAGGGGGCAAGCGUUAUCCGGAAUCACUGGGUGUAAAGGGAGCGUAGACGGCUGAGCAAGCCUGAAGUGAAAGGCGGGGGCCCAACCCCCGGACUGCUUUGGGAACU